CUCAAUUGAUUGGAGUUAGUGAAACUCCUCCCUCGGCGCCCGCUACGAUCAAUUAUGGUGGCACCAGGACCUGGUAUAUAACGAGGCAUGCCAGCGAAAAGGGUGCCCUGAUUGAUGCAAAUCGACUUUCUUAGUGAGUCAAGAACGGUGACGACUGAAUAAAUAUACUCCAUGUUCUCCGUUUGGCUAAAGGUAUCUAUCUAAAACUACCUGAGGCAAGGAAUUCAAGACAGAAUACUAGGAAACCACAAGAGAAGGGAAGUGACCACAUGCACACGUAUAUAAUGUGCUGGUAGAUUUCAGACACAUAAAUUCAGACACAUAAAAAAAAAAAAACCACUCCGUUCAUCCUUUUUUUUUUGUAAGAGAGAAACGACCAGAGGAUGGAAAAAAAGAAAAAAAAAAGAUUGGAUAGAUAUGAAUACACAUUUCACCCUGAUUAGAUUUGAAAUGAAAAUGAAAAGCCGAGGGGAAAAAGCAACAGCGAAAAAUAUCAAAUCGAAACCAGCAAAGCUGAAAAGAAACCUGUUUCAAAAAUGAGAAAAAGUCUGCACAAAUAAAAGGGAGAAAGAAAAUAAAAAGGAAUUGAAAUUGAAAUUGGAAUGGAAAAAGCGAAGAGAAUGGAAUUGAUAACAUUAAUAAUUCAACUCCCCGCUUCCGGGCCCCCCGACCGCAUCGAGGUCCUCAUAGCUUUUCAAGCUGCGGCCUUGAACUGCUUCUGCUGGGCCCAUGGCCUGUGCGCUCCCGCCUGAACUAUCACCCCACCGAGGGCCAACACCAGCGCUCGCAGCGGCUGCGGCAGGGUGACCAAGUGGAAUGUAUGCUGCGCCAGCGCCUGAAGGCAGACGACCACCAGCCGCAGACAUGGCGGCCAUUCGGCCGGGGCUGAGUCGACCGUUGCCGCCCACGCUUCCUCCGGCCCCACCGGAACCAAAACGACCUCCUCGCCGGUCAUACGGCCCCGUUCUAUUUCCACCAUAUCGGUUCCCACGUCGAAUAACUCCGGGGUGAUGCAGAGCAGACGGGUCCCCGGAGCCAGCGGCACCUGUCAAAGGGAGUCCACUACCAGCCCAGCCACCAGGGUGGCCAGCUGCAUUCAUGAAUCCGGUAAAUCCUGCGGCGGAUGAUAGGCCUGAGAAAGGGGAUCCACCAGGCAUUGAUCCAUUACCUGCCCCGAAGCUGAAAGGCAUGUUCGCAAGGUUGAAUCCGCGAGGUGUUCCGGUGGGCAUGUGGCCGGAUGAAUAUGGGAAAUGGCCGUUGCUAGUCGGAUC
rnacentral:sRNA from 1 species